UACGAAGGGGGCUAGCGUUGUUCGGAUUUACUGGGCGUAAAGCGCGCGUAGGCGGAUAUCUAAGUCAGGGGUGAAAUCCCAGGGCUCAACCCUGGAACUGCCUUUGAUACUGUCGAUCUGGAGUAUGGAAGAGGUGAGUGGAAUUCCGAGUGUAGAGGUGAAAUUCGUAGAUAUUCGGAGGAACACCAGUGGCGAAGGCGGCUCACUGGUCCAUUACUGACGCUGAGGUGCGAAAGCGUGGGGAGCAAACAGG
rnacentral:rRNA from 1 species